UUCGGACUGGAGUCUGCAACCCGACUCCACGAAGUUGGAUUCGCUAGUAAUCGCGCAUCAGCCAUGGCGCGGUGAAUACGUUCCCAGGCCUUGUACACACCGCCCGUCAAGCCAUGGGAGCCGGGGGCGCCUGAAGUCCGGGACCGCGAGGACCGGCCUAGGGCGAAACUGGUAACUGGGGCUAAGUCGUAACAAGGUACC
rnacentral:rRNA from 1 species